UACGUAGGUGGCAAGCGUUGUCCGGAUUUAUUGGGUUUAAAGGGUGCGUAGGCGGCUUUGUAAGUCAGUGGUGAAAUAUGGCAGCUCAACUGUCAAGGUGCCAUUGAUACUGCAGAGCUUGAGUACAGAUGAGGUAGGCGGGAUUGACGGUGUAGCGGUGAAAUGCUUAGAUAUCGUCAAGAACACCUAUAGCGAAGGCAGCUUACUAGGCUGUAACUGACGCUGAGGCACGAAAGUGUGGGGAUCAAACAGG
rnacentral:rRNA from 1 species